rnacentral:tRNA from 1 species
GGGAAAUUAAGUCAGGCUGCUAACUUGAUUUUGGUCUUAAUGGUCAUUCUCUG